rnacentral:rRNA from 1 species
CAGCAGCCGCGGGAAUACGGAGGGGGCUAGCGUUGUUCGGAAUUACUGGGCGUAAAGCGCACGUAGGCGGCUUGGUAAGUUAGAGGUGAAAGCCCAGGGCUCAACCCUGGAAUUGCCUUUAAGACUGCCGAGCUAGUAGGUGAGAGAGGUAAGUGGAAUUCCGGGUGUAGAGGUGAAAUUCGUAGAUAUUCGGAAGAACACCAGUGGCGAAGGCGGCUUACUGGCUCAUUCUAGACGCUGAGGUGCGGAAGCGUGGGGAGCAAACAGGAUUAGAUACCCCUGUAGUCCCUGUCUCUUAUAU